AGGGGUAUAGCUCAACUGGGAGAGCAGCAGACUGAAGUAAGCGGUUAAAUAUCUGCAGACUUUCUGAAGGUCCCGUGUUCAAUCCAUGGUACCCCCA